GACGAACGCUGGCGGCGUGCUUAACACAUGCAAGUCGAACGGAAAGGCCUCUUUCGGGGGGUACUCGAGUGGCGAACGGGCGAGUAACACGUGAGUAACCUGCCCUUGACUUUGGGAUAACUUCAGGAAACUGGGGCUAAUACCGGAUAGGAGCUCCUGCUGCAUGGUGGGGGUUGGAAAGUUUCGGCGGUUGGGGAUGGACUCGCGGCUUAUCCGCUUGUUGGUGGGGUAGUGGCUUACCAAGGCUUUGACGGGUAGCCGGCCUGAGAGGGUGACCGGCCACAUUGGGACUGAGAGACGGCCCAGACUCCGACGGGAGGCAGCAGUGGGGAAUAGUGCACAAUGGGUGGAAGCCUGAUGCAGCAACGCCGUGUGCGGGAUGACGGCCUUCGGGUUGUAAACCGCUUUCGCUCAUGACGAAGCUUUGUGUGACGGUAGUGGGUAAAGAAGCACCGGCUAACUACGUG
rnacentral:rRNA from 1 species